GACGUAGGGCGCGAGCGUUGUCCGGAAUUAUUGGGCGUAAAGAGCUCGUAGGCGGUCUGUUGCGUCCGCUGUGAAAACUCGGGGCUUAACCCCGAGCCUGCAGUGGAUACGGGCAGACUAGAGGUAGGUAGGGGAGAAUGGAAUUCCCGGUGUAGCGGUGAAAUGCGCAGAUAUCGGGAGGAACACCGGUGGCGAAGGCGGUUCUCUGGGCCGUUACCUGACGCUGAGGAGCGAAAGCGUGGGAGCGAACAGG
rnacentral:rRNA from 1 species